AAAGACUCAAUUCUUCGAUUUCUGUGUCCAACGUUUGACCGUCCGUCUUAUAUGAAUUUUUUAAUGAUUAGUAUUUUCAUUAUAGUUAGAUGAUAAAAAAUGAAUAAUACUUUAUGCAUGACUUAUUUUUUAAAAUUUUUUUAUAAUUUUUUCAAAUAAGACGGACAGUGACAUGGAAACUCAGGAAUUGAGUUUUU
rnacentral:pre_miRNA from 1 species